GUUUCGCGGCGGACAUAUAUACCGCAGGCACCGCCUCCCUCCUUCCUUUUGCUGAGCGGGCGAGGGUGGGGAGGUGGCGGUGAGGCUGGCCAUGAUACAUCAAGCAAGUUCUUCCCUCACUGGUAAUAAUAAAACUGCAGACCUGAUGCCACUUGCUAAGGAUUUAAUGGAGGAAGUUGGAAGCCCCAUAGAAGGAAGAUUCUCUGGCCUGAAAGGUGAAUCCUGAUAAUGAAAUGCUGUGUUAAACAGAUUGGCUUCGGAUGACCAACUGCCUGAUCUAUGGAGAUAAAAAUUCAACUUAAACACAGUUCCAUAUUGUUUGCAGGGAGAGUAGAGCACAGGACAUUUCACACAAAAGGCUUCCAAGGGGUGCUUGGGUAUCCUGACUGGGGUGAUUUGGAUGUAUGGAGUGCUGCUAUUAGCAGUGGUCCUGUCACUGUCUUGAAGAAACUUGGCAUUAAUAUUAGAAGAUGACGGAUGAUCAGGACAGCAUUUCAAGUGAGAGAACUGGAGCACACUUGGAAAAGAUCAUUUUGCUGAGAGAAUGAGGAGGACUCUUAUGCUGAAACAGUACAGAACUUCAAGCUGUCUCUACUAAGAAUUGGAUUCUACCAACCAGAACCUGUUGGUAAAAACUGAAUUGUUAGAGUAAAGCUCUUCAAACAUUUUAUGAAGCAAUCAGCCCACUGCCUGCCUGAGAGGGAGCAAGAUUGAUUUGAGUGGACAGUUAAGGAACCAGAAAGUGUGAGGAGUCUUUGGAUACACAUUUUGAUGUUUUAAGUUUUGCCCACAGAAGACAGUGCCCUUUCUUCUCAGGUCCUUGGGCAUAUAGCCAUGGAGGGGCUGGAGUCAAUCCUGCAGCAGUGGGUGUGUCAAGCUGAAGGGAAGCAUUCUCUCUGCCACCCCAUUUAGACUAAAAGUUUGGCCUGGAGUCCUUGUGUAACAGUCCUGCCUGUACUCAGAGCCUACCCGGACCAUUUAAGGGCUUGCAAGCAUGUUGAAAGGAUGGAUGAAGCAGCAGUGCCAGGAUCCUUGCUGUAUUCUACCCUUGCCACAGUAGGUGACGUCUUCUGGAUGAAGAGUCCUCUACAAAUUUGUGCAGAAAAGAUUUUAAGUUCAGAAUGUCUCACAGAAGCAUGUUAUAAGUGGGCAACAUUAACAUACACUUUUUGGUCUCUUCUUAAAUAGCCAAUUAAGACACUAGACCUGCUCUGAACUUGAACUUUUCUGCCAUAUGUGCUUUUUAACCAGCAUUAAGUAACUUUAGCAGUAAAAUAACAGCUGUCUAAGAAAUGUGCUAAAAUAAACUCAUUAGAAAUGA